AAUACAUUGUUUUUGAAAGCUGUCUUCGAGAGCUGUUUGUGUCCUGUCCAAUUUGUAAGACAAAGUGUGUUGUCCAGAGCAGACGAAGGGGGACUUUUGUUGCAUUCACCCAGCUUUGUGAAAAGUGUAACUACUACAGACAGUGGCAGAGCCAGCCCAUUGUAGGGAGUACCCCACUUGGAAACCUGCUAUUGUCUGCUGCAACGUAUUUUACCGGUGGAUCUUUUAAACAACUAGAGAAGAUUUUCAAGGCCAUGAAGCUCCAGAUGAUGCAUUUCGUAACUUUUAGGAUUCAUGCCAGGAAUUUCAUUGAGCCUACCAUAAUACACAAGUGGAAGCAAGAUCAACUGAAUCUUAUAAGACAGCUGCAAGAGGGAGGAAAUGUUGCUGUGGCUGGAGAUAUGCGUGCUGACACGCCAGGACACUCAGCAAAAUUUGGCAGCUACACCAUUAUGCACAUGGAAACCAACAAAAUUCUG